ensembl:misc_RNA Metazoa_SRP Metazoan signal recognition particle RNA
GCCGGGCGUGGUGGCGCAUGCCUGUAGUCCCAGCUACUCAGGAGGCUGAGGCAGGAGAAUCGCUUGAACCUGGGAGUUGGAGGUUGCAGUGAGCCGAGAUGACACCACUGCACUCUAGCCUGGAUGACAGAGCGAGACUCUGUCUCAA